GAUAAUUUUAAGGUCCCUCCCAACCCAGGCUGUUCUGUGGUUCCAGGCCGAGUCUGUGGGACCAGGCCUCUGAAAAAAGCCAUUUAUCUCCCAGCUCUGUUUCUGUGUGCCUGCCAAGUGAUAAUUGGGGGGAAGAGGAGCCCAGCCCUCAUGAUGCCCAUUUGGUUCAUGACUGACAGAUUUAUGAUAGGCUGCAGUUUCCUCCAUUUGUCUGGCAGUGAGCAGCAGGGCCGGGUGAUUGUGUGCCGGCCUUCCCAAAGGAGAGCGCUUCCAGCUGGAUCCAGGGCACAGGAAAUGAUCUAGCGAAAGCCUUUUGGUGACAAUUAACAGAAUUCCUGCCGAUAACUUCUUUUUUUUUGUCCUCUCCCUCAGAACAAUUUCACAGCAAGCCCUAAGUGGCCGUGGAGAGGCCUUGGAGGAGUCUGAUGUCUUGUCCUCACUCUUGGCUUGGUGGAAGAAGGAAGCUGAAAGAAGGAGGUGAUCUGGCAAAGCCGACAGCUGCUUGAAGUGCUCCAGGCCUGUCUAUGCACAUCCUUGCUCCCAAAUUCCUAGGGUUUCCAGAGCAGCUAGCCAGAAUGCUGAAAAAGCUUUCUCUUUAAUCUCUUGAUCUCCACUGUGUGUUUUUGCCAGUGCGGGUAAAACAGAGGUGCACGCUCCACAUACCGGUGUUUCCAACAGGGUAAACAGGAGAGUCUACUGAGAAUGAUCUGAGCAAAACAUCUUGUCUCUACAGCUGGUUCCUGUACCAGGGACACAGGAGGAGGCAGGACAGGCAUACUUGACCUGCCAGGUAUCACCAGUGUCUUUCUCUACUCAAACAACAAGAAAUGAUAUUCAUUCAUUCUUUGCUCCAGCUAAAUUCCAGCUCAAACAUGAAGGGAAGUUUUGUCUGAGACAUUUGCUGGGAGUGGUGAUGGGGAUUGCUGCGCUUUCAGAGAUUCAUUUAGUACACAUGGCCUAAAUUCAUCAGGUGGUUCUCCCCAGGCUGCAGCUUUGCUUCAGGAGCUGGCAGACCACAGCCCUUGUCAUCACUUCAGUUCUCCCUUGUGGUGUAACAGAAAAUGAUGAGAUUCUCCAAUGUUUGCUCAGGUCCAACCCUUGGAAUAGGACACCACCUUUAAUAAGCCACAGAGAAGACUCAACUAUUUUAUUUUCUCAAUUUUAGUUUCAAGCAAAGAGAUAACCCAGCUGAAAACCAAGAGGAUGACAUGAUAUUAAGGAGAAUGGAAUUUGGCAUGCAGGUUACAAACCAGUCUGAAUUCCACUGCGUGAAAGUGUUCAACAGUACUGCAGAGCCUGGCUGCUUCGUCCUAGGCUUCAGCUGCAACUGAGGACAAAUCCCAAAGAGAAUUCUGUCCAUUAGUAGCAACAAGACUCUCCCUCCAUGCAUGUGUACAUCUAUAUCUAUCUAUCUAUCUAUCUAUCUAUCUAUCUAUCUAUCUAUCUAUGGUGUGUGUGUGUUUCAAUUUGGUUGGCUUUUCCUUAGGUAAGCUGAUGGUAGUGGUGAUCCUCACUUUGCAAGCUGCAUGCCGAAAUUGUUGUAGCUUGCCUUAUAAACUUAGAAUUUAUAAACAAGUUAAGUGGAACUAAGAUCAGAAUUAUUAAAACCAGCUAAAGUUGAGCCAUUUUCUUCUGUAGUGACAGGAAUGCAAGAAUGAGGACACCUGGUGAUUCACCUGGCUCAGAAUCCUCUCCCCCGGCAGUGGCCAGGGAUGGGUGUUUGAGCAGAGACGAGAACCAGGUUUCUGAAGUCUCAGGACAGCUGGCAAAAGAGAAAAUUCAAACCAGGGAUGUGCCCCUUCCUCCAUUUGUUAGGGAAAGGCUUCAUUUUGAAGCAGCAAAGCAGCACAGCAGCCCCGGGAGACAGUGGCUGAUUAACAAGCCUGUGGGGGCUGGCAGUGAGGGCUGCAAGGUUGGAAGCAAACCCGCUGUAGCCGCUGGCACUUGCUCCCUGCAGGAAUAGUGAGUUCAUUUUCGUGUGCUUCCUGAUGCUCGCUCUGCGGUCGGGAGCUGAUAGAAGGCAACGCUUCAACUUCCUGAACCCUCUAAAUAAAGCAUCCUUUCUGCA